GGCCUGAUGGUCUAGUAGUAUGAUUCCUUGUUAGGGUUCUGGCAUUGGUAGUUCUGAUCUAUCGAGGAGGUCCCGGGUUCAAUUCCCGGUCAGGCCC